UACAGAGGGUGCAAGCGUUGUUCGGAAUUAUUGGGCGUAAAGCGCGUGUAGGCGGCUAUGUAAGUCGGGGUGUGAAAGCCCUCAGCUUAACUGAGGAAGUGCGCCCGAAACUGCGUAGCUUGAAUACCGGAGAGGAUGGCGGAAUUCCCGAAGUAGAGGUGAAAUUCGUAGAUAUCGGGAGGAACACCGGUGGCGAAGGCGGCCAUCUGGACGGAUAUUGACGCUGAGACGCGAAAGCGUGGGUAGCAAACAGG
rnacentral:rRNA from 1 species